UACGGGGGGAGCAAGCGUUGUUCGGAUUUACUGGGCGUAAAGGGCGCGUAGGCGGCACCGCAAGUCGACUGUGAAAUCUCCGGGCUUAACUCGGAAAGGUCAACCGAUACUGUGCGGCUAGAGUGCGGAAGGGGCAACUGGAAUUCUCGGUGUAGCGGUGAAAUGCGUAGAUAUCGAGAGGAACACCAGUGGCGAAGGCGAGUCCCUGGACAACACCUGACACUGAGGCACGAAAGCUAGGGGAGCAAACAGG
rnacentral:rRNA from 1 species